UUACGGGAGGCAGCAGUGGGGAAUAUUGCACAAUGGGCGCAAGCCUGAUGCAGCGACGCCGCGUGGGGGAUGACGGCCUUCGGGUUGUAAACCUCUUUCACCAUCGACGAAGGUCCGGGUUUUCUCGGAUUGACGGUAGGUGGAGAAGAAGCACCGGCCAACUACGUGCCAGCAGCCGCGGUAAUACGUAGGGUGCGAGCGUUGUCCGGAAUUACUGGGCGUAAAGAGCUCGUAGGUGGUUUGUCGCGUUGUUCGUGAAAUCUCACGGCUUAACUGUGAGCGUGCGGGCGAUACGGGCAGACUAGAGUACUGCAGGGGAGACUGGAAUUCCUGGUGUAGCGGUGGAAUGCGCAGAUAUCAGGAGGAACACCGGUGGCGAAGGCGGGUCUCUGGGCAGUAACUGACGCUGAGGAGCGAAAGCGUGGGGAGCGAACAGGCUUAGAUACCCCGGUAGA
rnacentral:rRNA from 1 species